AAAACACUAGCAGAGUUUCGUCACAUUAAAAUAACAAUAUUAGUAAAACAUAGGAAAAUGAUUCACAUGGCACAUAUAAUUGCAAUGUGUAUAAGCUUUGCUGAAUCAGCAUCCAAACGACUAUGCAAGAAAAUAGUAUUUCAAGAAAACAUUAGUGACGCACCAUAUCCGCACAACCACAAUAAGAAUUCAAGGACUAUAUUUUCACCAAGUUCAUGAUUUGUUCAGAUGAAGCCUACUAGUUAGAACAUUUGAUGCGAUCAAGAAGUCAGAACCAGCAUUAAACAGAAGAAAUAUAAUGAUUCAAAAUUAAAAUUGUUUGAAUAGUGCAUUUAGGAAGUUGUGAGUUGUGACUCAGACAAAGCCAAU
rnacentral:misc_RNA from 1 species